GGGGAUGUUUUUGGGAUUCGACAGGCGUAGAUUCGCAUUGACUGCGAUUCGUAGGUUACGUCUACGUAAAAACGUUACAGUUAAAUAUAACUGCAAAUAACAAAAAUUCUUACGCAUUAGCUGCUUAAUUUAGCGCAUGCGUUGCUCUUUGUCGGUUUACUCGUGGCUGACACUGAGUAUCAACUUUAGCGAGUUACGUUUAACUAUCUCACCUGAAUAGUUGAAAAGAGUCUUAACAGGUUAGCUAGCUCAUCCUAGCCCUGUUAUAUGGCGUUUUGAGCUAGUGAAGUUCAAGUAAUAUAACUAUGAUCGUAGAGGUCAGUGACGGAAUGCGUCUGGACAGGGGUUCAACUCCCCUCAUCUCCAUC
rnacentral:tmRNA from 1 species